rnacentral:rRNA from 1 species
CGGGACGGGUGAGUAACGCGUGAGCAAUCCGCCUUUAAGAGGGGGAUAACAGUCGGAAACGGCUGCUAAUACCGCAUAAGCCCACGGCUCGGCAUCGAGCAGAGGGAAAAGGAGUGAUCCGCUUUGAGAUGGCCUCGCGUCCGAUUAGCUGGUUGGUGAGGUAACGGCCCACCAAGGCGACGAUCGGUAGCCGGACUGAGAGGUUGAACGGCCACAUUGGGACUGAGACACGGCCCAG